rnacentral:rRNA from 1 species
GAUGAACGCUGGCGGCGUGCCUAACACAUGCCAGUCGAGCGAAGCGCUUAAAUUAGAUUUCUUCGGAAUGACGAUUUUUGUGACUGAGCGGCGGACGGGUGAGUAACGCGUGGGUAACCUGCCUCAUACAGGGGGAUAACAGUUAGAAAUGACUGCUAAUACCGCAUAAGACCCCAGCUUCGCAUGAAGCGGUGGUAAAAACUCCGGUGGUAUGAGAUGGACCCGCGUCUGAUUAGCUAGUUGGUAAGGUAACGGCUUACCAAGGCGACGAUCAGUAGCCGACCUGAGAGGGUGACCGGCCACAUUGGGACUGAGACACGGCCCAGACUCCUACGGGAGGCAGCAGUGGGGAAUAUUGCACAAUGGGGGAAACCCUGAUGCAGCGACGCCGCGUGAAGGAUGAAGUAUUUCGGUAUGUAAACUUCUAUCAGCAGGGAAGAAAGUGACGGUACCUGACUAAGAAGCCCCGGCUAACUACAUG